CACCUGAUAGCACACGGUGUGCACCUGCCUCUUGCACACAUAACCUCUCAAUUUUUGUCGGCAGGAGGUCCCUGUUCGAUUCGGGGUCGGGUGA